rnacentral:rRNA from 1 species
UACGUAGGGUGCGAGCGUUGUCCGGAAUUAUUGGGCGUAAAGAGCUUGUAGGCGGUCUGUCGCGUCUGCUGUGAAAAUCCGGGGCUCAACCCCGGACUUGCAGUGGGUACGGGCAGACUAGAGUGUGGUAGGGGAGACUGGAAUUCCUGGUGUAGCGGUGAAAUGCGUUGAUAUCAGGAGGAACACCCAUGGCGAAGGCAGCUAACUGGGCAUUAUCUGACGCUGAGGCGCGAAGGCGUGGGUAGCAAACAGG